GUUUCUGUGUGUAUGUAAGAAAAGAAGUGUGUGUGUUUGCAUAUGUGUGUACGGGUUUGCAUUGUCUGUUUCUGUGUAUGUGUGCAAAGGAUGCAUUGUCUUUGUGUGUGUGUGUGUAAUGGAUGCAUUGUGUGUUUCUCUGUGUGUAAGGGAAGCAUGUUGUGUUUCUGUGUAUGUAUAGGGAUGCAUUGUGUGUGUGUGCGCGCGU